GGUUGUGCCCUUGAGGCGUGGCUUCCGGAGCUAACGCGUUAAGUCGACCGCCUGGGGAGUACGGCCGCAAGGUUAAAACUCAAAUGAAUUGACGGGGGCCCGCACAAGCGGUGGAGCAUGUGGUUUAAUUCGAUGCAACGCGAAGAACCUUACCUGGUCUUGACAUCCACGGAAGUUUUCAGAGAUGAGAAUGUGCCUUCGGGAACCGUGAGACAGGUGCUGCAUGGCUGUCGUCAGCUCGUGUUGUGAAAUGUUGGGUUAAGUCCCGCAACGAGCGCAACCCUUAUCCUUUGUUGCCAGCGGUCCGGCCGGGAACUCAAAGGAGACUGCCAGUGAUAAACUGGAGGAAGGUGGGGAUGACGUCAAGUCAUCAUGGCCCUUACGACCAGGGCUACACACGUGCUACAAUGGCGCAUACAAAGAGAAGCGACCUCGCGAGAGCAAGCGGACCUCAUAAAGUGCGUCGUAGUCCGGAUUGGAGUCUGCAACUCGACUCCAUGAAGUCGGAAUCGCUAGUAAUCGUGGAUCAGAAUGCCACGGUGAAUACGUUCCCGGGCCUUGUACACACCGCCCGUCACACCAUGGGAGUGGGUUGCAAAAGAAGUAGGUAGCUUAACCUUCGGGAGGGCGCUUACCACUUUGUGAUUCAUGACUGGGGUGAAGUCGUAACAAGGUAACCGUAGGGGAACCUGCGGUUGGAUCAC
rnacentral:rRNA from 1 species